GCGGGUGUGGUGAAAUUGGUAGACACGCCAGACUUAGGAUCUGGUGCCUUCGGUGUGUAGGUUCGAGUCCUAUCACCCGCACAA
rnacentral:tRNA from 2 species